rnacentral:lncRNA from 1 species
GUCUGGAUGCAUCUAACUAUGUACUAGAUACGCAAGUAUGCAUUUGAAGCUGCAAAAAUCCUUUGGUCAUGAAAUGACCUACAUUUGGAUUACAUGCUGAGGCAUCAGUCUAACAUGAAAUUACUCCCGUGUUUUUAUUGUAAUGGCCAAUUAAGGAUCAGCACCUCAGAAACCUCAUGUAGCAGUUUUCCAUGAAAUAAACAUCGACCUUGAAAAUGUGCCCCUUCUGAAAUCCUAAUGCUGAUGUAUUCUGAAAGGGUCAGCCCAUCACCAUGGUGCUGGCAGGAGUGAGUUGUGUUUGGCUGCUGAGAGCCGAUACAUCCUCCGUGCCAAAGAUUAGUUGUGAGCAGGGAAGUUGCUAGGGGACAGGGGUAAACACAAAUGCUCCCUGCUUUCCUUACAGUUCUGCUUCAAAGUCAUGCAGAGCGCUCAUGAAUGUGCCCAAUGCUCCUCUUCCCUCCUUUAACAACAUGUGGUACAUGGGAACUCAGCUGCUGAUUCAGCAUUUGUUUGCUGCUGGGAAGAACUUCAAGUCUCAACCGACGCUCGUAAAACAACUCGGCUCCAGUAAAUCAUACUGCCUUUUUGUGGAUGUUGAUGGUCAAUAGAAUGACAUGAGUAUACACACAGCUGAGAAACCUGAGCCCCCAGCAGAGAUUUUCUCCAUCUGCACAUUGUUGUACUUGAGCUCCUUGUCCUCUCCUCUGGCUGUGAUUGAGGAACAACCUAACAACAUGGUUAAGGACUUUCGUGAAUUAGUGCCUAGAUUCCUGCGUUUAUGCAGUUAAAUUUUUGGAUACUAGCAAGAUCUUUGCCAGUCUGUAAUCAAGUGUGCAUCAACGACAGAAAGAAUUGGGCAGGAUAGAGACCAGAAUCAUGUAUCCAGUGUUCCUUGCUCAACCUGAAUGUCUCCAGGUACUUAACAAACUAGCAAACUGCAUGCUUUGAAGGGUACAGCAAUUUAUUAUAAUAGAGGUUAAAAGCAGAACUUUGGGGGGGUGGAAGGGGAAGAAAGAGAAAAAAAAGUUUACUUCAGAUCAAUCUUAGGGAGCUAAUAGGAACACAGUUCUUGUUUUGAUUCCCUGUCUCUGGAGAACAUCAAAUUGAUAUUUAUCUCUUUCUUAGGAGAAACAGAAUUAAAAGCACCUCAAUUCAUAAAUAUCUUGCUCAAUUCUCUUCAAAGUCUCCUAAAAAUCCAGAGAGGAAGGUGUGCUCCCACUUUGCAACUGCUUCAGCAAGCCCAGGCCCCACAGUUCACCUGCAUCUUUAAGCCAUUGACGACGGCAGUUACACAGAGGGGUGACAGUUCCUGCUUCCUCUGUUUCUGGAACAGAGCCCCUUAUUCUGUUCUUUAUCAUGUUAUGACCAUUUGAUCACACGCCACUGGCCUCUGUAACCAGGCUCUUGCCUCACUUUCUUUCCACCAAUAAAGAGGUUCCUGUCACUGUGUUACUCUGCUGU